UACGGGGGGGGCAAGCGUUGUUCGGAAUUACUGGGCGUAAAGGGCUCGUAGGCGGCCAACUAAGUCGGAUGUGAAAUCCCCAGGCUUAACCUGGGAACUGCAUCCGAUACUGGAUGGCUUGAAUUCGGGAGAGGGAUGUGGAAUUCCAGGUGUAGCGGUGAAAUGCGUAGAUAUCUGGAGGAACACCGGUGGCGAAGGCGGCAUCCUGGACCGGCAUUGACGCUGAGGCGCGAAAGCUAGGGGAGCAAACGGG
rnacentral:rRNA from 1 species